GACGAACGCUGGCGGCGUGCCUAAUACAUGCAAGUUGAGCGCUGACGGCUGGUUCUUGUUCCACCUGCAUGUGCCGCGCACGGGUGAGUAACGCGUGGGGCAUCUGCCUCUGAGCGGGGGACAACAUUUGGAAACGAAUGCUAAUACCGCAUGAAAACUUUAACCACAAGGUUUAAGUUUGAAAGACGCAGUUGCCUCAAUCAAUGCUGUUCUCGCGUGUUAUUGGCUAGUUGGUGAGGUAAAGGCUCACCAAGGCGAAGAUACAUUGCCGACCUGAGAGGGGGCUCGGCCACAGUGGGGCUGGGACACGGCCCAAUAUCCUACGGGAGGCAGCAGUAGGGAAUCGUCGGCGAUGGGCGGAAGUCUGACCGAAGAACGCCGCGUGAUUGAAGAAGGUGGUCGGGUCGUAAAACGCUGGUGGUAGGGAAGAACGUUGGUGAGAGUGGAAAGCUCAUCAAGUGACGGUAACUACCCAGAAAGGUACGGCUAACUACGUG
rnacentral:rRNA from 1 species